GGCUGAGGAAAGGUGUCCGGUCAACC
rnacentral:sRNA from 1 species